rnacentral:rRNA from 1 species
AACGAACGCUGGCGGCAUGCCUAACACAUGCAAGUCGAACGAAGGCUUCGGCCUUAGUGGCGCACGGGUGCGUAACGCGUGGGAAUCUGCCCUUUGGUUCGGAAUAACAGCUGGAAACGGCUGCUAAUACCGGAUGAUGACGAAAGUCCAAAGAUUUAUCGCCAGAGGAUGAGCCCGCGUUGGAUUAGGUAGUUGGUGGGGUAAAGGCCUACCAAGCCGACGAUCCAUAGCUGGUCUGAGAGGAUGAUCAGCCACACUGGGACUGAGACACGGCCCAGACUCCUACGGGAGGCAGCAGUGGGGAAUAUUGGACAAUGGGCGCAAGCCUGAUCCAGCAAUGCCGCGUGGGUGAUGAAGGCCCUAGGGUUGUAAAGCUCUUUUACCCGGGAAGAUAAUGACUGUACCGGGAGAAUAAGCCCCGGCUAACUCCGUG